GAUGUGAGCAGCUUCUUUCAUAGAGCAGAGUCUGCUGGCUGGAAGAAUCUAGAAUUGUAACAAAAGAAAGGAAACAUGAAUGAGAAAUGACUAGACUUUACACCCGAUGCUUUGGAACAUUCCAGAGCCAAGAAAAGCCCUUCUUGUCACACAUUAUUUCUUAAUAAUUAGGGCCAGCUGUGCUUGGGCAAUUCCGGUCAAGCCAGAUGCCAAAACCCAUUGCAGACACAGGAAGAGCCUCAUCGUCAAGUCUCCAAACAAGCAGUCGAAAAUCAAAAGAGAAGACCAGCAAAGUUGGAAAGCCAAGGGCUCCUUCCUCCCAGGAAGAGCAAUGAAAAGUAAGGUAAGAUGUGCCAGCUCUUCUCCCCUGCCUGAUACACCUGUGUGCCUGGAUGAAGGUAAGAGAUGCUCUCCCAGGUAUGAAGCCCCCCCUGGAACCCCAUCAGUAUAAGGUCCAAGUUCAGCACAGCUAGAAAAGAAUAACAGGUCUUGCUCGUGUGACGGACACUGUGCAUCCCCUCCAAUAGCCGGUCUUGCCCCCACCUCUUCUCAUACUUGCUCUGCAUCCACGUGCUCAGGGAAGGUAGCUCCCCCCAUCUCUGGGGGGUGGAACAUAUGGGUCAAAAUUAAUCACAGUGGUCUCCUCUUUGACCGUGAUUAGCUUAAGCAUUAGCAUCUUGACCCAGACCUUACCUGAGUGUUAGCCUGGGAAAGCUUUUCUUUGUUAAUUAAAAAUAAAAAGAGGAAUUCCCGUCGUGGCGCA
ensembl:lncRNA